GUGGUGGAGGAAGAGAAGAAAUAGUGGAGGAAGGAUGAUGGUGUUUGAGGGGAGAAGAGGGUGGUGGAACUGGUAGAAGAAGGAGGAGGAUAGGGAACAAGGGUGGCAGCAGUUCUGGUCAUGAAGGUGAUGACCUCAUGGCGGCGGACAUCGGGAAGAUGACCUCAUAUGGCGGUUGUGAGUUUUUCGAAGGCGGCUGUGGG
rnacentral:lncRNA from 1 species